rnacentral:lncRNA from 1 species
GGCAUUGCACUUUGAAUCAAAACAUGUCUUGAAGGAGUAACAAGAACAGGAGGCCCAGAACUAGCCAAAUUCACUUCUCCACCCACUCUUGCCUCCGCAGGGAUUUCCCAGAACAGCGGUGGUGGCGGCGGCGGCGGCGGCGGCGGAGGUGGCGGCAGUUUUGUAGACACAAAUUGCUUACUAACACUCUCCAGGAAACCCGAUUUUCGCUCUGGAGAGUUCUGGGUAUUGCCUGAAUCUCUUCCAGAAAAAGAUGGUGACGAAGACAAGG